CGGCGAACUGGUGAGUAAUAUAUGGGUAAUUUGCCCCUAAGUUCGGAAUAGCCCGUGGAAACGCGGAUUAAUGCCGAAUGUGAUCGACCUUCGCAUGGAGGUCUCUUUAAGGGCGGGGAUUCUUCGGAACCUGUCGCUUGGGGAUAGGCCCAUAGCCUAUCAGCUAGUUGGUGAGGUCAAGGCUCACCAAGGCUUACGGGUAGCUGGUCUGAGAGGAUGGUCAGCCACACUGGGACUGAGACACUGCCCAGACUCCUACGGGAGGCUGCAGUCGAGAAUCAUUGUCAAUGCACGAAAGUGUGAACAUGCGACGCCGCGUGGAGGAAGACGGCCUUCGGGUUGUAAACUCCUGUCAGCAGGGAGGAAAGAUGGUUUUGCUAAUAUCAGAAUCAUUUGACAGUACCUGCAGAGGAAGUCACGGCUAACUCUGUGCCAGCAGCCGCGGUAAUACAGAGGUGGCGAACGUUGUUCGGAUUUACUGGGCGUAAAGGGUCCGCAGGCGGAUCGGUGUGUCGGAUGUGAAAGCUCACAGCUCAACUGUGGAAUUGCAUUCGAAACUGCCGGCCUAGAGUACUGGAGGGGAGAAGGGAACACUUGGUGUAGCGGUGAAAUGCGUAGAUAUCAAGUGGAACACCGGUGGCGAAGGCGCUUCUCUGGACAGAUACUGACGCUCAUGGACGAAAGCUUGGGUAGCGAAAGGGAUUAGAUACCCCUGUAGUCCAAGCCGUAAACGGUGUGCACUAGGCGUAGGUGGCUUUACCCCCAUCUGUGCCCGAGUUAACGCAUUAAGUGCACCGCCUGGGGAGUACGGUCGCAAGAUUAAAACUCAAAGGAAUUGACGGGGACCCGCACAAGCGGUGGAGCAUGUGGCUUAAUUCGAUGCAACGCGAAGAACCUUACCUGGGCUUGACAUCUAGCUGCAUACGACCCGAAAGGGACGUAGCCUUCGAGGGUGCUAGACAGGUGCUGCAUGGCUGUCGUCAGCUCGUGCCGUGAGGUGUUGGGU
rnacentral:rRNA from 1 species